rnacentral:rRNA from 1 species
UACGGGGGGAGCAAGCGUUGUUCGGAUUUACUGGGCGUAAAGGGCGCGUAGGCGGCCACUGCAAGUCAGUUGUGAAAUCUCCGGGCUUAACCCGGAAAGGUCAACUGAUACUGCAGGGCUAGAGUGCAGAAGGGGCAACUGGAAUUCUCGGUGUAGCGGUGAAAUGCGUAGAUAUCGGAAGGAACAUCAGUGGCGAAAGCGGCUUCCUGGACCAGUACCGACGUUCAGGCACGAAAGCGUGGGGAGCAAACAGG